CAGGCAUCUGGGGUGCUUCUUUGGGAGCUUACUGGCUUUCAGUUUGAUCGUCUCCCUAUCAUUUCUACUAUCUUCCUAGAGGUGUCUCCCUCCGCAAGUUCGCUCACUGCAGAGAUAAUAUCAUCACAGUCCAUCAGGAUAGAUGUGAAGAAAGGAAAUAUGAGAAAUGAUUAAACCUAUCAGUUCUAUGAGGGAACAGCUGCAGAGGAUACCUGCACAUCUGUUUCAUGGGAGAACCUUGGUGCUGGAACAGCAUGAUGAACUGCAG